ensembl:snRNA U6 U6 spliceosomal RNA
GUGCUCUCUUGGGCAGCACAGAUACUAAAAUUGGAAUGAUACAGACAAGUUGACACAAGAUUACACAAGGAUGGUGAACAAAUCUGUAAAAUAUUCCAUAUUUUU